rnacentral:rRNA from 1 species
GAUGAACGCUAGCUACAGGCUUAACACAUGCAAGUCGAGGGGCAGCAUGAACUUAGCUUGCUAAGUUUGAUGGCGACCGGCGCACGGGUGAGUAACACGUAUCCAACCUUCCGUUUACUCAGGGAUAGCCUUUCGAAAGAAAGAUUAAUACCUGAUAGUAUGGUGAGAUUGCAUGAUAACACCAUUAAAGAUUUAUUGGUAAACGAUGGGGAUGCGUUCCAUUAGGUAGUAGGCGGGGUAACGGCCCACCUAGCCUGCGAUGGAUAGGGGUUCUGAGAGGAAGGUCCCCCACAUUGGAACUGAGACACGGUCCAAACUCCUACGGGAGCAGCAGUGAGGAAUAUUGGUCAAUGGGCGAGAGCCUGAACCAGCCAAGUAGCGUGAAGGAUGAAGGUCCUACGGAUUGUAAACUUCUUUUAUACGGGAAUAAAGUUUCCUACGUGUAGGAUUUUGUAUGUACCGUAUGAAUAAGCAUCGGCUAACUCCGUGCCAGCAGCCGC